AAUAUUGCACAAUGGGCGCAAGCCUGAUGCAGCCAUGCCGCGUGUGUGAAGAAGGCCUUCGGGUUGUAAAGCACUUUCAGCAGUGAGGAAGGCGGAGUCGUUAAUAGCGGCCUCGUUUGACGUUAGCUGCAGAAGAAGCACCGGCUAACUCCGUGCCAGCAGCCGCGGUAAUACGGAGGGUGCGAGCGUUAAUCGGAAUUACUGGGCGUAAAGCGCAUGCAGGUGGUUUGUUAAGUCAGAUGUGAAAGCCCGGGGCUCAACCUCGGAAUUGCAUUUGAAACUGGCAGACUAGAGUACUGUAGAGGGGGUAGAAUUUCAGGUGUAGCGGUGAAAAUGCGUAGAGAUCUGAAGGAAUACCGGUGGCGAAGGCGGCCCCCUGGACAGAUACUGACACUCAGAUGCGAAAAGCGUGGGGAGCAAACAGGAUUAGAUACCCUGGUAG
rnacentral:rRNA from 1 species